rnacentral:lncRNA from 1 species
UAUUAAAAACGUAGGCUGCAUCAGCGUGCUUACAGACGAAGAAAAAGAAUUGCGAUGUUAAGGAUCACUACAUUUCUAUCUUUUCUGUUUGUUUCAAAUGGGAUUUUUUUUUUCUCCAAGGAGUAUUUGGCAAAGGGAGGGGGUAAUGUUUUUUUUUUUAUUUCUAAUUUUAUUUUAACAAGUCUGAGAUACUACACAAACAAACAAUUAACCUCACCCUUUUUCAGUAAUGCAUUUACGAGUGAAUCGGUGUUUGAGUAAAGACCAGUGGCAAAUAUUUCUGUCAGUGAGUACGUCCAGUCGAUUCGGGAAGA